ACUUAAAUAGCUUAAAGUUUAGAGCAUAAUAUUGAAGAUAUUAGGGUAAUAUAAAUAUAUUUUUAAGUA
rnacentral:tRNA from 1 species